UUUUCUGCCACCGAAUACAUUAGCAUGGGAUAAUGGAAUAGGACCCUGUCCUCCUAUUUUCAGUUGGUUUUGGCAGCGCGAGGACUAGGGUAAUGAUUAAUAGGGAUAGUUGGGGGCAUUAAUAUUUAAUUGUCAGAGGUGAAAUUCUUGGAUUUAUGAAAGAUUAACUUCUGCGAAAGCAUCUGCCAAGGAUGUUUUCAUUAAUCAAGAACGAAAGUUAGGGGAUCGAAGACGAUCAGAUACCGUCGUAGUCUUAACCAUAAACGAUGCCGACCAGCGAUUAGGAGACGUUGAAUACAAAACACCACCAUCGGCGCGGUCGUCCUUGGCGUCUCGGUCCUUCACGGGGCCGGGGCGCGGGGGCGGCUUAGCCCGGUGGCACCGGUGAAUGACUCCCCUAGCAGCUUGUGAGA
rnacentral:rRNA from 2 species